rnacentral:rRNA from 1 species
UACGAAGGGGGCUAGCGUUGUUCGGAAUUACUGGGCGUAAAGCGCACGUAGGCGGAUUUGCCAGUCAGGGGUGAAAUCCCGGGGCUCAACCUCGGAACUGCCUCUGAUACAGCAAGUCUUGAGUCCGGAAGAGGUGGGUGGAAUUCCUAGUGUAGAGGUGAAAUUCGUAGAUAUUAGGAAGAACACCAGUGGCGAAGGCGGUCCACUGGUCCGGUACUGACGCUGAGGUGCGAAAGCGUGGGGAGCAAACAGG